UGAGCAACCUGCCCCUGGCUCUGGGAUAACUCCGGGAAACCGGAGCUAAUACCGGAUACGAGACCGAUUGGCAUCUUUACGGUCUGGAAAGUUUUUCGGCCAGGGAUGGGCUCGCGGCCUAUCAGCUUGUUGGUGAGGUAACGGCCCACCAAGGCGACGACGGGUAGCCGGCCUGAGAGGGUGACCGGCCACACUGGAACUGAGACACGGCCCAGACUCCUACGGGAGGCA
rnacentral:rRNA from 1 species